GUUCACCUUCAACUCAGGAUUAAACCACAACAGUGACAACAUUAACACCACGAGUGGAGGCGUAUGAAAAUCACUACAGCACAAAGAGCAGACGGUCCAGUCCAGAAGAGGGAGGCAGCCUGAGCUCUGUGGCCUACGAGCUGGAACACUGGACUGGCGUGAGGCCUAAUGCUGAUUCUGCCUAAUGCCUUUAGUCACUUUGACUCAGCUUCAUUAGCCACAAAACGCCCGACACACAGGUCUGUGAGGCUGCAGUGCUCGGUCCCGGCGUUGGAUGAAGUGAGACCUGGGCUCAGUCACACUGUGGUGCAGGACGUUUAGAUGGAGCCAAAGUUCGACAUCAGGGCUUCCUGGUGUUAGAGGAGCUCGUUACAGACGAGCCCGCGCGUCAGCCUCAGCUUCCUUCUGCUUGUCUUGGUCUGAACAGCUUCUGUUGAUUGGCUCAUGUGGCUCAGACUGAUGGAGUUUCACUGACAUCUAUUGGUCAAGCAUCAGAACUGCAGAACCUUUAAUGAAGAAUGUGAUGCUUCAGCUCAAACCCAAACCUCCAAACAGAAGAAUUCAUUGUCUUCAGCAGUAAAGCUUCCUAUAUGAAUAUAUACAUUUCAAACUGUACUAUAGAGCAUUUAUUCUAAAACAUGAGCUCAGACAUGAAUUUCCUUUUGCAUUUGAUUGAUUUUUCAGAUUUAUUUUAUCCUCAAACAGCUGAUGUUGCUGCUACUGUGGCUACAACAACAACAAACAAACAACAAAUUUGGUGUUUAAACUGUGAAAAGUAUUAACUUGGGUACAUUGUUUGGGACAUCUGCAUGAAGGAACUCCCAGCUUUGGUUUAAGUCUAAGAUGUGGACUCCCCGUAAUGACUGGACCUGGACUGUUAAAGCUUAAGAAGAAGAAAAUAUGCAAAAAAAACUAAAUCACACUGAACAAAAAGUCACAACAGGCACAAAGACUUUGUGGAAACGCUGGAGAUGAAGCUGCAGUUAUGAACGAGGUCGGUGUUCACCAAUGUGGCACAAUUUAAUUUGUGCGGCAGGAACUGCA
rnacentral:lncRNA from 1 species